CUGACAUCACAACCCAAGAACUGCUGUUUCCUGUAACACUGGUUUAAACAGGGGUGCGCACAGCAAGUGGAUCUCGUCGCCUUUGGGGGGCUGUGGCUGUGCCCCUCAAAGUGAAUUUGGAGGUUCCACAUUC
rnacentral:snoRNA from 1 species